UACGUAGGGGGCAAGCGUUAUCCGGAUUUACUGGGUGUAAAGGGAGCGUAGACGGCACUGCAAGUCUGGAGUGAAAGCCCGAGGCCCAACCACGGGACUGCUCUGGAAACUGCGGGGCUGGAGUGCGGGAGGGGCAGGCGGAAUUCCUGGUGUAGCGGUGAAAUGCGUAGAUAUCAGGAGGAACACCGGCGGCGAAGGCGGCCUGCUGGACCGCGACUGACGUUGAGGCUCGAAAGCGUGGGGAGCGAACAGG
rnacentral:rRNA from 1 species